UAGGGGAGUCGGGGCUCAGAACCCCUCCCUGAGCCUAGGGUAACUCUCAAAGUGGAGGGGAA
rfam:Fukomys damarensis contig103082, whole genome shotgun sequence.